AUGUCCGUCCAAGUACUGGUCACCAUGCGCUACUACCCGAACUUCAUGGGGUACCCGUGGCGGCCUUUACUGCGUGCGUCCGCCCCUCCUGUCUUCAUCCCCAGAGCCGGCGCCUCGAUCCCUGGUGGCUCCUUCCCCGUCGGAUUGCUCGGGGAUCCAGCUCGUGGACCCCGUCUCCAUCGUCUCAACUGGUGA
rnacentral:rRNA from 1 species